UUGUGCCUCCUCCGGCGCGGGGGCGGGGGCUUCGGGUGGGACGCCCGGCUCAGCGUCUCUGCUGAGAGGAGCUCGGUCUCCUUAGGACUCGCCGGGGUUUCGGCUUCAGGACAAAGUGGGGCUGCGUCCACGCUGACUAGGGAACAGGUUUCCUGAGGACCCAGGUGAUGCCUGAGGGAAAGCCAGCAUCUGUUCUCAGGCCCAAGUGCCUCAGUUUUCCUUUGGGAAUUACAUGUCACGUGCUUCCAGUCCAAACAGUUGCAGAAGGAUGACCCCAUGUUCCACCCAGCUGGAAGAUGGAUUUACAACCCACAUCUAGCCAGUCCCAUUUUCCAUCUUCUGGUGAUGGGUCAAGGAUGAGAAUGCAACCCAAGCCAGAUCAAAGGCAUUUAAAACCAUGACUUUCUUGGAAUCCAAGAAAAGGAGAAACUCUUUCUCAGAAAAUGGAUGGAUCUGAGAGGACAUGCGGUCAUCAUGUCUGUUUAGACUCUUCUGGGCUCUGACAGUUGCUCAGACUCUCCUUGUUUCCAUGACCUUGACAGCGUGGAAGAGGGCUGCUCAGGACUCCUAGGCCCCUCCGGUGUGCAUCAUUUUCCCUGCAGGAUCACUGAGUACCUCCAGACCCCUGUGGGCCUGCUGAGCAACAUCGAGGCCCAUAGGUUCCUUGGAGGUCUUCUGUGUAUGACGAGUGAUGGGCAACACACUGCACGUUACUUCAGGAGAGCUACAUUGCCAGAGCCCUCGGACAGCAUGUGGACCACAUUUAUAGCCCGUCCAACAUGCCAUGGAAGUCUUCAUCAGGGCUCUCGUCUGAGCUGCCAUGACAAAACACUCUGCUUAGAAUUUUUCUAGGACCUUGUACCUGAAGUGACUAUACUCAGGUAGGAAGUCAGCAUCCUACCAAGCUGUGUGGUUAAUGGGACAUUAAAUGGGAGCAGUUGCCUUGAGGAAAGACCCUGAAUUGCCGUGCAGAAGCGGAGACGUGCAACAGUUUCCAUGAGGCCGUAGCCACUGCUCUGCAUUAUCUUAACUGCAGUUCGCUUUUCAGGACACCUAGGAACUUCGCGUGGGCACCGUAUUCCUGGCAGGAACAGUGACUAAGCCUAGGCUCCCUUGGACCUGCUAAGCAACUGUCAGGUCUGUAACCCUUCGGAGCCACUCUGUGUAUGCCGAGUGUAUCGCAACACACUGCACUCCUUCAUGGGACAGCUUGAAAUCCCCAGCUCUCCCAGAGUUUCUCGGACACCCUUUUGGCACGUCCAACAUGCCGGGGAAGUCUGACUCAAUGCCCUAGUCUGAGCUGCACUGAGAAAAACCCUCAGCUUCGAAUUCCUUCUGGGACCUCCUGCCUGAAGUCACCCUGCCUCCAGGAGAAAGUCAGCUUGCGUUUAGACUACCACUAAAUCCCAGUUCUUCGUGUAACACUGCAGGCUUAUGAAGAGCCACGGGCCCGGAUGCCUAGCUAGGGCGUACCUUGUUUGAGGCAGUUUGCUAGAUGCAGAGCACCCUGCUUCCAGGAGUGAUUCAGGGAAGGAGCCACUGCGUUACCUGUGUCUCUUUUGACAUGAUAGAAACCACAGGGAUGUAUGCUACGUGUGCCCAUGGAAAUGGGGGCCUGAUGGAGCAAGCCUUGCUUUCCCAUUUUGAAAGCUUCAUGCAUGGUGCCUUGAAGGACCUGAAAUUCACUGCUGUUGACAGACCACUAGCCACUGUACAUCUAGCUCUGGGAAUCAAAUGAGUUUCCUCUAUCUAAACCAGGUGCUUCCGUGGCCGGUGUAGAGCUCAGCCUGCCAUGCUCUAGAGCUAAACGGAAACUCAACGUGAGUACCUGCCUGGAAGGAAGGCCCAGAGUAUCCGUACAGAACGGGAGGCGUGCAGCUGUUUCUAUGCGGUCUUAGUCGCUGUUCUGCUGUAUUUUAAAGGGAGUACCCUUUUCAGGACUCCUAGGCCCCUCGGGUGUGCAUCAUUUCCCUCCAGGAUCACUGAGUACCUCCAGACCCCUGUGGGCCUGCUGAGCAACAUCGAGGCCCAUAGGUCGGUCCCUCGGAGGCCCUCUGUGUAUGCCGAGUGAUGGGGAAAUCUCUGCACGUUCCUUAAGGAGAGCUACAUUUUCAGAGCCCUCGAACUGCCUCAGGACCACAUUUCUGGCCAGUGCAACGUGUCAUGGAAGUCUUCGUCAUGGCCGUCGUCUGAGCUGCCAUGGGAAAACAUUUUGCUUACAAUUCUUCCAGGACCUCGUACUUGAAGUCACUCCACUCGAGGAGAAAUUCACCAUCCUACUAUGCUGUGUUGCUAACGGGACACUCAGUGUGAGCACUGGCCUCAAGGUAAGGCCCUGAAUUGCCGUGCAGAAGCCAAGGCAUGCAGGAGUUUACAUGACGCCGAAGACACUGCUCCACAUUAUCUUAAUGGCAGUACGCUUUUCAGGACACCUAGGAGCCUCGCGUGGGCAUGCUAUUCCCAGCAGCAACAGUGAGUCCCUCCAGGCCCCACUGGGCCAGUUAAGCAACUUCCAGGCCCGUACACUUUCGGAGCCACACUGUGUAUGUCGAGUAUAGGGCAACACACUGCACUCCUUCAUGAGACAGCAUGAAAUCCCCAGCACUCCCAGAAUUUCGUGAACACUGUUCUAGCACGUCCAACAUGACGCUGAAGUCGGAUUCAUUGCCUUAGUCUGAGUUACACUGAGAAAACCCUCGGCUUUGCAUUGCAUCUAGGAUCUCCUGCCUGAAGUCACCCUGCCUCCAGGAGAAAGUUGGCUUUUGUUCUGAAUGCCACCAAACCCCAGUUCUUCAUGUAAAACUGCAGGCUAUGAAGAGCCACAGGCCCAGAGACGUAGCUAGGGCGUACUUUGGUUGAGGCAGUUGGCUAGAUGCAGAACACCCUCCUUCGAGGAGUUGAUUCAGGGAAGGAACCCCUGGGUAACCUGUGUCUCUUUUGACUUGUUAGAAACCACAUGGAUGUAUGCUGUGUGUGCCCAUGGAAAUGGGGGCCUGAUGGAUCUAGCCUUGCUUUCCCAUUGUGAAAGCUCCAUUCAUGCUGCCUUGAAGCGACCUGAAAUUCACUGCUGUUGACUGGCCUCUAGCUACUGUACGCCUGGCUCUGGGAAGAAAAUAAGUUUUCUCUAGCUAAACUUGGUGCUUCCAUGGCCAGGGUGGAGCUCAUCCUGCCAUUCUCUAGAUAUAAAGGGAAACGCAACGUGAGUACUUGCCUGAGGAAAGUCCCUGAGUAUUCGUACAGAAAGGGAGGCAUGCAGCUGUUUCCAUGAGGUCUUAGUCGCUGUUCUGCUGUAUUUUAAAGGAAGUACCCUUUUCAGGACUACUAGGCCCCUCGGGUAUGCAUCAUUUCCCUCCAGGAUCAGUGAGUAGCUCCAGACCCCUGUGGGCCUGCUGAGUAACAUCAAGGCCCAUAGGUCGGUCCCUCGGAGGCCCUCUGUGUAUGCCGGGUUAUGGGCAACACACUGCAUGUUCCAUAAGGAGAACUACAUUUCCAGAGCCCUCAAAAAGCCUCAGGACCAUAUUUCUUGCCAGUCCGACGUGCCAUGGAAGACUUUGUCAAGGCCAUUGUCGGAGCUGCCAUGGGAAAGCAUUCUGCUUACAAUUCUUCGAGGACCUCGUACCUGAAAUCUCUCUGAUCGAGAAGAAAUUCACCAUCCGACCGUGCUGUGUCACUAACGGGACACUCAGCGUGAGCACUUGCCUGUAGGUUAAUCCUUGAAUUUCCGUGCGGAAGCGGAGGCGUGCAGCAGUUUCCCUGAGGCUUUGGCUCUGCUGUGCAUUAUCUUAACGGCAGUACGCUUUUCAGGACACCUAGGAGUUUCACGUGGGCACCCUGUUCCCGGCAGGAAGAGUGAGUCGCCCCAGGCCCCCCCUGGGCCUGCUAAGCCACUUGCAGGCCCAUAGCCCUUUGGAGCCACCCUGUGUAUGCCACGUACAGGGCAGCACACUGCACUCCUUCCUGGGACAGGUUGAAAUCCCCAGCACUCUCACAGGUUCACGAACACGGUUCUAGCUCGUCCAACAUGCCCUGGAAGUCUGACUCAUAGCCCUAGUCUGAGCUGCACUGAGAAAAACCCUCGGCUUCGAAUUCCAUCUAGAACCUCCUGCCUGAAGUCACCCUGCCUCCAGGAGAAACUCGGCUUGCGUUCCGACUGCCACUAAAGCCAGGCUAUGUAUGCCGAUUAUAGGGCAACACACUGCCCUCCUUCAUGGGACAACUUGAAAUCCCCAGCACUCCCAGAGUUCCACAAACACUGUUCUAGAAAAUCCAACAUGCCAGGGAAGUCUGACUCAUUGCCCUAGUCUGAGCUGCACUGAGAAAAUCCCUCGGCUUCGCAUUCCAUUUAGGACCUCGUGCCUGAAGUCACCCUCCCUCCAGCAGAAAGUCGGCUUGCGUUCUGACUGCCACUAAAGCCCAGGUCUUCGUGUAACACUGCAGGCUUUUAAAGAGCCACAGGCCCAGAGCCCUAGCUAGGGUGUUCCUUGGUUGAUACAGUUCGCUAGAUGCAGAACACCCUGCUUCGAGGAGUUGAUUCAGGGAAGCAACCACCGGGUAACGUGUGUCUCUUUUGACUUUUUAGAAACCACAAGGAUGUGUGCUGCAUGUGCCCAUGGAAAUGGUGGCCUGAUGGAACUAGCCUUGCUUUCCCAUUUUGAAAGCUCCUUUCAUGCUGCCUUGAAGCUACUUAAAAUUCACUUUUGUUGACAGGCCUCUAGCCAGUUAUAGGCCUGGCUCUGGGAAGAAAAUGAGUUUCCUCUAUCUAAACCAGGUGCUUCCAUGGCCGGUGUAGAGCUCAGCCUGCCAUACUCUAGAGCUAAACGGAAACUCCACGUGAGUACCUGCCUCAAAGAAAGGCCUAGAGUAUCCAUACAGAAAGGGAGGCAUGCAGCUGUUUCCAUGAGGUCUUAGUUGCCGUUCUGCUUUAUUUUAAAGGAAGUACCCUUUUCAGGACUCCUAGGUGCCUCGGGCAUGCAUCAUUUCCCUCCAAGAUCACUGAGUACCUCCAGACCCCUGUGUUCCUGCUGAGCAACAUCUAGGCCCAUAGGUUGAUCCCUUGGAGGCCCUCUCUGUAUGCCGAGCGAUCGGCAACACACUGCACGUUCCUUAAGGAGAGCUACAUUUCCAAAGCCCUCGAACAGCCUCAGGACCACAUUUCUGGCUAGUCCGAUGUGCCAUGGAAUUCUUCAUCAUGGCCGUCAUCGGAGCUUCCAUGGGGAUAUAUUCUGCUUACAAUUCUUCUAGGACCUCAUACCUGAAGUUACUCUGCUCUAGGAGAAAUUCAGCAUCCUACCAUGCUGUGUCACUAACGGAAUACUCAGCGAUGCGCUUGCCUUAAGGUAAGGCCCUGAAUUGCCGAGCAGAAGUGGAGGUGUGCAGCAGUUUCCAUAAGGCCGUAGCUGCUACUCUGCAUUAUCUUAACAGCAGUACGCUUUUCAGGACACCUAGGAGUCUCGCGUGGGCACCGUAUUCCCCGCAGGAACACUGAGUACCCCUAGGCCCCCCUGGGCCUGCGAAAUAACUUCCAUGCCCGUUGCCCUUCGGAGCCACUCUGUGUAUGCUGAGCGUAGGGCAACACACUCCACUGCUGCUUGGGACAGCUUGAAAUCCCCAGCACUCUCAUAGGUUUACAAACACUGUUCUAGCACGUCCAACGUGCCAGGGAAGUCUGACUCAUUGGCCUAGUCUGAGCUGCACUGGGAAACACUCUCGGCUUCGCUUUCCAUCUAGGACCUCCUGCCUGAAGGCACCCUGCCUCCUGGAGAAAGUCGGCUUGCGUUCUGACUGCCACGAAAGCCCAGUUCUUUGUGUCACACGGCAUGCUUUUGAAGAGGCACAGCCCCGGAGGCCUAGCUAGGGCAUACCUUGGUUGAGGCAGUUCACUACAUGCCGAACACCCUGCUUAGAGGAUUUUAUUUGAUUCAGGGAAGGAACCACUUGGCAACCUGUGUCUCUUUUGACUUGUUGUAAAGCACAGGGUUGUAUGGUGCGUGUGCUCAUGGAAAUGGUGUCCUGAUGGAACUAACCUUGCUUUCCCAUUUUGAAAGCUCCAUUCAUGCUGCCUUAAAGCUACGUGAAAUUCACUGCUGUGGACAGGACUCUAGCCACUAUACGCCUGGCUAUGAGAAGAACAUGAGUUUCCUGUAUCUAAACCAGGUGCUUCUAUGACCGGUGUGGAGCUCAGCCUGCCAUGCUCUAGAGCUAAAGGGAAAUUCAAUGUGAGUACUUGCCUCGAGGUAUGGCCCUGAGUAUCCAUGCAGAAAGGGAGGCACACAACUGUUUCCAUGAAGUCUUAGUCGCUGUUCUGCUUUAUUUCAUCGGGAGUACCCUUUUUAGGACUCCUGGGCCCCUCGGGUUUGCAUAAUUUUCCCUCCAAGAUUACUGAGUACCUCCAGAUCCCUGUGGGGCUGCUGAGCAACAUCGAGGCCCAUAGGUCGGACCCUCGGAGGCCCUCUGUUUAUCGAGUGAUGGGCAACACACUGCACCUAUCUUAAGGGGAGCUGCCAUGAGCAAACCUUCUGCUUACAAUUCGUCGAGGACCUCGUACCUGAAGUCACUCUGCUGGGGGAGAAAUUUGCCAUCCUGCCAUGCUGUGUCGCUAACGGGACCCUCAGCAAGAACACUCGCCUGUAGGUAAUGCUGCUGAAGCGGAGGCAUGCAGCAGUUCCCAUCAGGCUGCAGCUGCUGCUCUGCAUUAUCUUAACCGCAGUACCCUUUUCAGGAGACCUAAGAGACUCGGGUCGGCACCAUAUUCCCGGCCAGAAGCCUGAGUACCCACAGGCCUCCCUGGGCCAGUUAAGCAACAUCCAGUCCCGUAGCCCUUCGGAGUCACUCUGUGUAUGUUGCGUGUAGGGCAACAGCUUGCACUCUUUCUUGGGACAGCUUGAGAUCCCCAGUACGCCCACAGGUUCACGAACACUGUUCUGGUACGUCCAGCAUGCCGUGGAAGUCUGACUCAUUGCCCUAGUCUGAGCUGAACUGACAAAAACCCUUGGAUUUGCAUUCCAUCUAGGAUCUCUUGUCUGAAUUCACCCUGCCUCCGGGAGAAAGUCGGCUUGCUUCCAACUCUAUCUAAAGCCUAGUUCUUCGUGUAACACUGCAGGCUUUUGAAGAGCCACAGGCCCAGAGGCCUAGCUAGGGUGUUCCUUGGUUGAUACAGUUCGCUAGAUGCAGAACACCCUGCUUCGAGGAGUUGAUUCAGGGAAGGAACCCCUGGGUAACCUGUGUCUCUUUGGACUUGUUAGAAACCACAGGGAUGUGUGCUGCGUGUGCGCAUGGAAAUGGGGGCCUGAUGGAACGAGCCUUGCUUUCCCAUUUUGAAAGCUCCAUUCAUGCUGCCUUGAAGCUACCUGAAAUUUCUGCUGUUGAGAGGCCUCUAGCCAUUGUAGGCAUGGUUCUGGGAAGGUAAUGAGUUUCCUCUAGCUAAACCGGGUGCUUCCAUGGCCGGGGUGGGGCUCAGCCUGCCAUGCUCUACAGCUAAAGGGAAACUCAUCGUGAGUAUGUGCCUGAGGAAAGGCCCUGAGUAGCCGUGCAGAAAGGGAGGCAUGCCGCUGCUUCCAUGAGGUCUUACUCGCUGUCUGCUGUAUUUUAGGGGAACUACCCUUUUUAGGACUCCUAGGGCCCUCGGGUGUGCAUCCUUUUCCCUUGAAGAUCACUGAGUACCUCCAGACUGCUGUGGGCCUGCUGAGCAACAUCGGGGCCCAUAGGUCGGUCACUCAGCGUCCCCCUGCGUAUGCUGAGUGAUGGGAAACACACUGCACGUUCCUUAAGGCGAGCUACAUUCCCAUAGUCUGCGAACAUCCUUCAGGGCCACAUUUCUGGCCAGUCCAACCUGCCAUGGAAGUCUUUGUCAUGGCCACCGUCUGAGCUGUCAUGGGACAACAAUCUGCUCAGAAUUCUUCGAGGACCUCGUACCUGAAUUCACUCUGCUCGAGGAGGAAUUCAGCAUCCUACCAUGCUGCGUCACAACUGGGACACUCAGCAUGAGCACUUGCCUCAAGGAUCACUGAGUACCUCCAGACCCCUGUGGGCCUGCUGACCAUCAUCGAGGCCCAUAGGUCAGUCCCUCGGAGGCCCUCUGCAUAUGCCGAGUGAUGGGCAACACACUGCACGUUCCUUAAGGAGAGCUACAUUUCCAUAGCCCACGAAUAGCCUUCAGGACCACAUUUCUGGCUAGUCUGAUGUGACAUGGAAGUCUUUGUCAUGGCCCUCGUCUGAGCUGCCAUGAUAAAACACUCUGCUUAGAAUUCUUCGAGGACUUCGUACCUGAAGUCACCCUUCUCAAGGAGAAAGCAUGCUACCAUGCUGUUUCACUAACGGGACGCUCAGCGUGCGCACUUGCCUCGAGGUAAUGCCUACUGCGUGCUGUGACCCAUAUCACCUGUGAGGGCACAAGCCACAAGCAUAUGUUGGGUCCUGUUAGCCUCCCAGCCAGUCCCUGAAGGUGAGGGCGGCCCUGUAGACCCCAGCCCUCUCCACCACGCCUAGUAGGUGGAAGACCCACUUCUCCUUGCCAUUCCAGAAGUGGUUCUGGGGCUGUCCUGGGAGGGCUUCUGGGGUUACGCAGGCUGAGCCCCUGUUACUAAGUCCCCACUUCCCCACAAGAGCCUCCAGAGCAAGCUGUUUGCCCUGUUGCCUGAAUGACCGCCCACCAGUUUUCUCAAGAAAGAAUCAGCGGUUUCUGUAGCAGCGUCUGCAGGCAGCUGUGCAUCUGGGCCCACGUUCACAUCUUCUGUGUAAACACUGAGAACCUUCCCUGACACGUGCCCCCAGCUGACCCCCUCCGCAUGUCGACCACAGGCCCCAGUGUGGGCGUCAGACUGGCCGCCCGUCUCAGCCUCCUGUUGUUGUCAGAGCUGCUCCAGGCUCUGUUCAGGACCCGUGUACCCACUUUUCACAGGGCUGUCCUGCACCCCCACCUUCAGCAGGAGUUCCCCUAAGUAUUUAAGUUAAGGGGUCCAGAGAUAAGAAAGGACGCUACAAACAAACAGAUGGAACCAGCUGGGACCAAGAUGGCAAUGAGUGUGACCUCCAACUGACCCCGAAUCUCAUCACAUGUUGAAUUUACUACAUCAGCAUAUUAAGUGACACACCCACCGGCGGCCAUGGCUGGACAUGAAGGACCAGAAACGGGUAAAAGGAGGUGGUACCCCAGCCCCUUGGAAGAAGCCCCGCCCCUUCCCCGGAAGGCCUCUUCAUCCCAUCACUAGCCUCCCUCCUCCUCCCUUUGCCUUUACUCUUUAAAAUUAAACCACUCUCUCCAGGAGGGCCAG